CCAACUGGGCAGAGGGAUCCUCCUCCUGGCAUCACUGAGAGCCCACAGAAUGAAGCUCUCAAAUGAAUUGGAGGAAAAAAAAAACAGAAUCAUAUUUGGAGAGAGAGAUACAGAAAAGAAAUUCACAAAGCAGUUCACUUCCAUGCUUCAAGCUGUUGCUCCAUUCUGCUUCUCAUGCAUACAGGAGUGAAGAUCCCUUUGUUGCGGAUGAGCUUCAUCUCUGUUUUUAAUGUCAGAAGUGAAGCACAGUUCUUCUUUCCAUCAUAAAACUCAUAAUUUAGGACUUUUUAAUAACUGUUCUUUAACUUGACUUGAAUGGCAAUUUUGCAAUCAACUUCUCCGAGAUUCUGCAGAGAGAGUUUUGUAAAUCUUCAGACUACUUUCUUGAAGACGUGAAACAGUUAUGAUACAAGGCUCAUCAUCUGAAAGCCCUGUUUCAAAGGCCUUGUACAGAAUGUAUACAGUCAUAGGGACAGCUGGUUCUGUUUCAGAUUUGCUUAAAAAAAUAAGGAAGAAGUAACAAAAGGAGCAGAGUACCAUCUCUAUAAAUGGAACACCUGCUUAUGUCAAGUAGACACUUUUCAGUACAUGAAAAUCUAACAGAUGAAUGGUAACAGUGCAUCAUUCAGACUCGUGAUUGCAUUCAAUCAACAGUAGUAGUCUAUAACCAUUUGAAUUAGGAGAGUAAUGCCAGAUACACAGGCUGCAGAAUCUUGCAAUAGUUCUUUCACACAAAAGGCAGAUGAUAGUGAACAAAUUCCUUUUCUUGCCUAAGCUAUAAGAGAAAUGUAGGAGUACAUCCUUCAGGCCCAGCCCACAGGAUGGUGUUGGGGAGGGGAAAUUAAUUGAUGUGAGAUGAUAUUUUCCAAAAUUAAUAUUGUUUAUUAAUUUUGCUAUUCAGAACUCUGCCACCCUCAACCACUAAUUUUAAUUGUAUUUUGAUUCUUACACAGUCAUGGAAACAUUCAAUGGAUAAUAUCUAGAUCUAUUUGGAAAAAGCAUGGGCCUUGCACUAGGCAGGCACAAGCUAAGUGUGUGUACCUUGUUUACCACAGGACCCUGGGCAGGCCAGACUCAGUGGCUACAGGUUCUUUUGUGUCUGCUUCCCGCGCUUGCCUCUCUGGUGGAGCAGAAAAACAUGCCUAGGCAAGGCAGGACAUGUAUAAGCCUAUUUUGGGCCUAUCAGGCCUACCACAACAGAUGGGAACAUGAUAAAUGCCAAAAGAAAGAGGUUUUAAUAGAACAGGACUCAAGGCUCAAAGGCCACAGCAAUUUUUUUCUGACUGCAGGAUUCAGCCACAAGCUGUUGAGAUGAAGGCAAAAUAGCGCAUGGGCUAACUUCUAAGUAACAUUCAACACUCUGUUCCAAUGAUGGUAAAACAAACUUCCACCUGCACAGGUACGUAAUGUUCAUAGAAAAGGCUUCAGACACCUUUAAAGCUGUUGUGAACAAAAUACAAUUUUUGUAAGCCUUCAGCAGUUUAGUUGAGAGAGGCACAAUCCCUAGCUUUGCCAUAAAUUCCUAGUGGCGUUUGAUUUCCUUUGAUCAAUGAGAUAGCUCAUUUCCAUGCAGAUGGGAGAUGCAUUUACAUUUAAUAAAUUACUUUGUCCACUCCUACAGUUAUUGACAUUUACAUUUCCUGUUGUAAAAUUAGAGCAGAUAUGGGAAAAGGAACUUAAACCAAAAUAUUAAAUGCAUGGAUUCACAGAACAUUGUGUUGGCUUUGAUUGUGUCUCCAUGUAGUCUGUUUGGGAAACUUGGUUCAUAUUAUUGGGAAGAGUAAUUCUUCUCCUCCAAUGGGGUUCAGAUAAAGGUUGUGUAUUCUCUUGAGUACAAUAAACGUAAUGAUGUUCUUGGGUGUUUUUCCAUUGUAUGUUGUCCUGUACACCUCUUGCCAAGUUUUGACUGCACAGUCAAGAUUUUUGGACACAGUUACUGGGAGGAGAGUGAUUGCAUCCCACUCAUCCACUGUGUGUUUUAGGAAAUCAGUUCUAGUUUGUUCAAUUCAGGCAGCAGACAGGUGAUUUCUCUAAUGUAUUUAUAGCUAGAAAAGUCAGAUUAUCAGGUAUGACAGAAUUUUUGGCUGUGCAGUUGUAGUCCCUUUACUUACCUCAAACAUUUUUGAUAGAAGACUGUGUGUCGUGUUCCAAGACUACCUCAUUCCAUUAUUAACAAGAAAGUUGUCUUUUAAAAGUCAAAGGUAUGUAUUAUUUGUCAUUUCUAACAAGGACUGGAAAUUAAUUCAAUUGCCUGCCUAUAUCCUGUAAUUACAGAAAUGUGUAGAGUUCUUAUCACAGCUAAUACAUUUGGAGUAAAUUAAUUUUGGAGCAUAGCAAUAUUUUCCUUAUUCAUGUAUGAAUAGUAGCUACUCUAAACAACUUGUACUUAUAUGGAUCUGCUAACAUUGUAAUCCCAUCAUAAAUUAUUACAGCUCUGAUUUGUCUUCACUUUAAAGUGAAGACCAUUUGUCUGUGGUAAAAUGAUAUGGUUAUAUGCUACUCAUUGUACACAACGUAAUUAUUUCUCAAUUCCCCACUCUUGAGGUUUUAAUGAAAAGGCAUUCUUAAUCGGUUCUGUUUUGUGCUAAAACAUUUCCCUAAUGAUUGGAGUACAUGCACUAUGUAAUGUAGAUACACAUGGAUUCAAUUUUUUAACCAUGCAUGAUGUGAAUAGAUUGGCAGGAUUUACAAAAUGUGAUGAUGGAAAUUUGUUUACUCCAGAUUAAACAGAAACAGGAAGCUCCUGUUUACACUCAUA